rnacentral:lncRNA from 1 species
UGCAACUUUUUUAAUCAUUAGCCUUUUUGAUCUUUGAAGCUCUAUUGAUUUAUACUGCUUUCCAAUCUUCCCGUUGGAAGGUAGCAGUUGAAAGCAAUUUAAAUUGCUUCACAGAUCUCGAGUUAUUUGGUGUAAACUGCUGAUGUGACAUGACAUCUUUUUCUGACUUUCUGACACUGCAGUCUAAUCUUUCACCUACCCCGUCAGAUGUGUUACUUUGAUGUCUCGGGCAGGUCGAAGACUUUAUUUCCCCCUUCUGAUUUCUUGAUCAGAGGUUCUCCUUGCAUAGAUGCUCUCAAUAAGCUUUUGUCUGAAUGCCAAGCUUCAGAUUGAACCAUUGCCAAUGCUUCAAUCCUUGGUUGUUCGAACUCAAUAAUUCUGAUACACUUCUUCUCGGACCUAAUCGUAGUGUCUUAUUGACUGAUGCUUAUUGAUAUGUAAAAUCAACACUACGAUCUUGAAGCGGGAUCACUUGAUCUUUAGUAAGGAGCAAC